AUAGUCACUUUAACAAACGCUUGGGUUUUGGGUCGAAGAUGGAGUUUCCAGACUUGGGACAAAACUGUAAUGAGAAAACUUGUAAACAGUUAGAUUUUCUCCCUAUGAAGUGUGAUGCCUGUUCACACAUAUUUUGUCGAGAUCAUAUACACUACAAUACACACAACUGCCCAGAGUCAUAUAAGAAAGUAAGUAACCUAUGUAUAGUUUCAAAAAUGUGAAUUAUACAUAAUUGUGAUCUUACAAAAAACUGAUUCUAAGUACUUGUCUUUGAAAUAUUAUAGUUUCACGCCCCCCCCCCCCCCCCCCCCCCCAACAUAUUAGAAAUAUGAAAAUUUAAAAAACUACUGGUUGUUCAAAAUUUCUUUUGUCUUUUUCAUAUUGAGUAUUUGAACAUUACAUUUAUCGAUAUUGAAAUGUAUAAGCCAUAUGAUGAUGUUCAGAUUGAAGGUCUGAAAAACUAAGUCUUUGAAUUACAAUGAGUCUGUUUGUAUAAUGUCAUUUCAGUUGAUUUUAUCAAUUAAAAAAAUAACUACAGAUGUACCUGUGUUGAUAAUGAAGUAUUAGGUUAAUUGAUUUUUAAAUGAUGAAAUAUUGAAGAAAAAGAUUAACUAACAAAGCAGCUCCAAAUGAUAUUAUGUUGGGGCAGAUCUCUCAUGAAUUAGGAGAGCAUCUUGGUAUGUCAUAUUUUAUGUCAAUUCAAUUUAAAUUUUGGACAAUUUUUAUUUCAAGUCAAUUUACAGCAAGUUUAAAUCGGAUAGAUUUACUGUUAUACAUUUAGGGCUCAAUAUUCUUACAAAUUUGUGUACAUUUUGCAGGAUAAUCAGGUUCCUGUGUGUCCGUUAUGUAACAACCCUGUCCCAGUCAAGAAGGGGGAGAUGCCAGAUGUAGUAGUGGGACAGCACAUUGACCGGGACUGUCAAUCAGACCCCGCCCUCAAUAGGAGAAAGGUUUGACUUAAUACCUUUCCUCCAUAUGAUCUGACUAGAUUUGAGUAACCUUUGUAGAAUUUUUAUGUGGUUUAAAGUAUACUUUAUACAUUAAUUUAUAUAUUGGAUUUUCAACUGUUCACAUAUUAAAAAGAGCAAAAAAUAAAAUGUAAGGUCCAUAUACAAGAUAAUCUUUAUUUUGUUUCAGAUAUACACCAACAGAUGUUCAUUUAAAGGAUGUAAACAGAAAGAAUUGAUAAAAGUUCUCUGUGAGAAUUGUCAUCAGAAUUACUGCCUAAAACAUCGACAUGAAACUGACCAUGACUGUAAAGGUUUCCAGGACACAGGGAGGGGUGUGUCCAGAGCAGGUGCUGCAGCUAUUUUUAGAACUCCCCAGUCUUCCAGUAAGCCAACAACUAGUGGAAGUAGUAAUAAGCCUUCAGCUAAAGUGGCUAAACCUCAAACCACCCCACUGUCACAGUUAGGCCGGGAACUAGACAGUGAGAGAAGGCAAAGACAAGCUAUGGCUGCUCGAACAGUACAGGGAGGAAUGACAGAAGAUGAGGCAUUAGCUCAGGCAAUUCAAAUGUCAAUGGCAGAGUCAUCCCAACCAACACAGCCUUCAAAACCUCUGACACAACAGGAACAGGACGACCUCCUUCUAGCUCAGGCCAUAGCUGCCAGUCAAGAAGAAAACAGGCGAGAGCAAAGGAGAAGGCAAGAAGCAGCUCAACGUAGAGAAGAAAACAAGACAUCCUGUCAGCUCUCCUGACACAGGGAGGGCCAUUAUGUGUAUUUAUUGGAAACACCUUGACACCUGGAUUGUACAGCAUUAUUCAGACAUAAUCUGUCAAAUCAGGUUGUGUUUUGAAUUCACAGGAAACAUCUUAUCUGUCUGUGGUUAUGGUACAUGUAUUAUGGUCUUUCACUUUUUAAUCUCAUGGAUAUUUUGUAGCACAAGUACAUGUAUUUUAUGAUAAGGAGAAAAUUUAUCAGAAUUUUUUUAUGCAUUACAUUCUUUUUCUCUUUCAUUAUUGAACUGGAAAUUAUGAUAAUACUGUAGAUUCCUUAUUUUAUGCGAGUACUUAAUUCUGUGAUUCAACAGUUUUACAUCAAAUUGCAAAUGCUGAAUUUUUAUCAAAAUUUCAUUCAGUUUACAUCUGUCUGAAAAAAUAAUAGUGAGAUUUUAAAAUUUGGGAGAUGUACCAGUGCUUCUUGCAAUUUUAUGCGGAUAUUAAUUCCUCGCGUUUAAUUAGGAAUCUACAUUAUCAAUUUUUAUUGUGUUGUACACGUACGUCUUUAUAAUACAAAUGCUAAUGCAUCGGUUAAAAAAAAUGCAUCAGCAUCUGAAUUUGAAUUGCAUUCUAUCAUAUUUACUUUAUAGACUUCAUGUGAAAAUGAAAACUACACAUAUGUAAAUUGAUUUCUAGUAUUGAUUUUAUAUGUUUUACCAAUUUUUUAAAUUAUUCUUUCUUUCUUGUUAAGUAACUUGAAAUUAAGAAUUUAAAUCAAAUUUUACCUUGUCACACCCUUGGUAGAUCUUUAUGAUACACAGAUUUUAUGCAUGUGUUAAGUGAUUACAUGUAGCAGCAGCAAAGUUUGAAUUGCAUACUACAAUAUUUAUUUACUACGGACAUCACGUGAAAAUGAAAUCGCACAUUUGUGCUGAUUACUAGUACAAUGUAUUGGUGUAUUUGUCACUGAGAAAUUCAAUACCAAUGUAUAAAUUUAUCUAAAAGGAAUUUACAUGUAUCGUGACAUUGUUUACAUAUUAUUUUAUUGUUUUAUUACUAUAUUGUUGAUUCAAUAAAUUAUUUUACAGUU
rnacentral:misc_RNA from 1 species